GGAAUUUGGCCUCAUUUAAAUUCGGAGUGAAACUCGGGAUUUGGUCCAGGCUUCAAUGGAAUUGAAUUAUUCAUUCAAUUCCUAUGAAAAAGAAAGUGAAAGCAGAAAUCAUUUGGACGAAAUUGAAGGGAAGGAACCCUUAAGCAUUGGUCCCUUUGACCAUUUUUCCAUAAAGUUGUCUCGAUUAAGUAUCAAACUCUGUU
rnacentral:lncRNA from 1 species